ensembl:lncRNA
UCUGUUCUACAUUUAAAACCACCAUCAUCAAGGUAGAUCUACCAGAAUAAUUCAAACCAUCACCCAAACGUUUUGACUGGUUUCUCAGUGAACAGUUCUGUGACUGGUCCUAAAACAACCUUACUAAAUGUUUCUUUUGUCUCCCGGCUGGACUGAUAAGGGUUGAAAGAAAACUGCUAUUCAAAUGACCUUCUGGGAGUGACCAUUCUGAGUUCCUUGUUUUGUCUCUGAGUCCGAGAGUAGGCUAAACCACAAACCAGAAUGGACGGACUUGUUCAAACUAAAUGUUAGAAGAGGGCAGAUUAUAAAACUUUGAACCAUGGAGUCCAGAACUGUUGAAUACCAUUCACCAGUUUCUUAUUUCGCCCCUUUGAUUGGGCACACCUAGUGGGGCUGGCUGGUACCUGCGGUCAUCAUGGAGAUAAGGGCUGGUUGGGCGGCCCUGGACUCCGUACGGACCGGUGUGAUCCGGAUCAGAAUGGUGGACUCCGGGGAAGUCUAAAUCUAGUGCUGCGCUGCGGGCUGGGGCAACACCCAGCAGUUAGCUCACCGCCACCACCACCAUUACCUCAAACACCACCUCCACCAUCACCUCCUCCUCCACCUCCACCAGCACCGUCACCUCCAACACCACCUCCACCAUCACCUCCUCCUCCCCCUUCAACAUCACCUCCACCUCAACCUCCACCAGCACCUCUACCAGCAUCACCUCCAACUCCACCUCCACCUCCAUCAUCACCUCCACCAGUCUCGGGCUAGAGCACUGAGCUACUUACAUACAGCUACACACUCCAAAUAUACACACCACAGCUACACACGCCAGAGAUACACACCACAGAUAUACACACCACAGAUAUACACACCACAGAUAUACACACCACAGCUACACACCACAGAGAUACACACCACAGAUACACACCCCAGAGAUACACACCACAGAGAUACACACCACAGAGAUACACACCACAGAUACACACCACAGAUACACACCACAGCUACACACCCUAGAUAUACACACCACAGCUACACAUCACAGAGAUACACACCACAGAGAUUCACACCACAGAUAUACACACCACAGAUAUACACACCACAGAGAUACACACCACAGAGAUACACACCACAGAGAUACACACCACAGAGAUACACACCACAGAGAUACAAUUACACAUGAAUGCAGAGGCGCCGCAUCCCAUUAGGCAUACCAGGC